GUGAAUCAUCGAAUCUUUGAACGCAAAUUGCACUCUCUGGCAUUCCGGUGAGUAUGCCUGUUUGAGGGCCAUUAUAACCAAAAUCGGAGCGAUGCUCUUUGGGUGACGCACCGGAUUUUGGGUCCUCUUAACUCUUUUUUUUAAGAGACCUAAAAUUUACUUUUUUUUUUCAUGACUUUUGCGACGAUCAAAUUUUUUUCUUAUU
rnacentral:misc_RNA from 1 species